GGAGGCGGUGACGGGCACUUCAUUUUCUGAGCCUGAGCACCUGUGUCGUCAGCGCAAACCGCAGGCACCGCGGACCCGAGCGGCGAGCCCCCCCGACCAAGCCCAGAGGAGCGAAGAAACCAAGCUCUCGGGGAGGAUCGCCAAGGAAACGGUCAUGCAGACGGGAAGGCCAGGCCCCUGACAGCAGGAAGGCAAAGGCUGAGAGGAGGGGAAGGUUCCUGGGCUUUGAACACCAAGCUCUUCCUUCCUGAGGACCCCUGCCCUGCACUGAUAAAGCGACAGGAGGGCCAACCAGGUCCCAAGGCUGCUCAGAGACAGAACCGAAUGACCACGAGGCCCCACGUGUCGGGGCGCCGCUCAGCCGCCAGCCUCGGGGCCCCCCGUCUCCACCUGGUGCUGCCUCUCACUGUGCCCCUGGCAGCCCGGGUCUCACCUCCCUGGUCCCCGGGCGGAGGGACCCCCUCUGCCUCCUCCUACUUACACUGUGUGAUACCAUCUGUUGUCUUCUUUCCAGGGCUUAUCAAACCCAGAAAGCUUGCUGUCAUAAUUUUAUCAUCAUUCAGGUCAAAAUACUUCCGAGAGUCCAGAAGAAGCUGUGGAGGAGAAAGAACGGAGGAGAGAAAGAAACCCAGCACCUUAUCUGAAGGAAAUCCAGGAGGCAUUGGAGAACUUCAGUGUUGGAAGGCUCUGCUCUGAGGCAAAGAGGAUGAAGCGAAGUCUUGGCUGAACGGCCCAACCGAUGUGAAAUGUGCUUUCAAACCAGGACUCUUUUCUCCUGAGAAAAAAAAUUUUUUAUAAUUUCCAUUCUAAGGUCAUAUUAUAUUAUAAACAUACUAGUUAUUUGUUAGUUGAAUAAUGGCUUAAUUGCAUGCGGUGAGAGAAUAUGGUGUGUAUCAUUUUAGUCAUUUGAAAUUUAUAGUUGGUUUAUAGCCCAGCAUAUGGUCAAGUUUUGUAAAUAUUCUGUGCGUGCCUUAAAAUAAUAUGUAUUCUGCAGUUGUUGGGUGUUCUAUAUAUAUCUGCUAGGUCUAAUGUGAUAACUGUGCUGACUAAAUCUCACAUGCUAUUAUUCGUGUUUUUUCUGCUUUUUCUAUUACUAAAAG